AAGCUGCAUGGACCAGGACUUGGCACCUUUGGCCAUAGUCCUGCCUGUAGGCUUA
ensembl:miRNA